UACGUAGGGUGCAAGCGUUGUCCGGAAUUAUUGGGCGUAAAGAGCUCGUAGGCGGUUUGUUGCGUCGGCUGUGAAAUCCCGAGGCUCAACCUCGGGUCUGCAGUCGAUACGAGCAAACUAGAGUGUUGCAGGGGAGACUGAAUUCCUGGUGUAGCGGUGAAAUGCGCAGAUAUCAGGAGGAACACCGGUGGCGAAGGCGGGUCUCUGGGCAACAACUGACGCUGAGGAGCGAAAGCGUGGGGAGCGAACAGG
rnacentral:rRNA from 1 species